rnacentral:rRNA from 1 species
UACGAAGGGUGCAAGCGUUACUCGGAAUUACUGGGCGUAAAGCGUGCGUAGGCGGUUCGUUAAGUCCGAUGUGAAAGCCCUGGGCUCAACCUGGGAAUGGCAUGGGAUACUGGCGGGCUAGAGUGCGGUAGAGGGUGGCGGAAUUCCCGGUGUAGCAGUGAAAUGCGUAGAUAUCGGGAGGAACAUCUGUGGCGAAGGCGGCCACCUGGACCAGCACUGACACUGAGGCACGAAAGCGUGGGGAGCAAACAGG